rnacentral:rRNA from 1 species
GUGAACGCUGGCGGUAGGCCUAACACAUGCAAGUCGAACGGCAGCACAGUAAGAGCUUGCUCUUACGGGUGGCGAGUGGCGGACGGGUGAGGAAUACAUCGGAAUCUACUUUUUCGUGGGGGAUAACGUAGGGAAACUUACGCUAAUACCGCAUACGACCUACGGGUGAAAGCAGGGGAUCUUCGGACCUUGCGCGAUUGAAUGAGCCGAUGUCGGAUUAGCUAGUUGGCGGGGUAAAGGCCCACCAAGGCGACGAUCCGUAGCUGGUCUGAGAGGGUGAUCAGCCACACUGGAACUGAGACACGGUCCAGACUCCUACGGGAGGCAGCAGUGGGGAAUAUUGGACAAUGGGCGCAAGCCCGAUCCAGCCAUACCGCGUGGGUGAAGAAGGCCUUCGGGUUGUAAAGCCCUUUUGUUGGGAAAGAAAAGCAGCAGGUUAAUACCCCGCUGUUCUGACGGUACCCAAAGAAUAAGCACCGGCUAACUUCGUG